ACGAUCCGACUCGCAACUCCCGGCUCUCGACAUUCACUCCCAUUAUCUGCUCAAACUUGACACAAACAAUGGAACCUGCAGGAGAUUUACAGAGAUGACAAUGGCGGUGCACUUGUGAAAAUGUGGGUGAAAUGAAGAAGAUGAAUAUGAAAUUGAAAUUGAUAGAAUGUAACAGAAUAACUGUCAGUUUACAGAGUAAAAAUAUCUU
rnacentral:lncRNA from 1 species